CCACAUACAGUAGUUCUUCCCAACAGAGAAAUUUGCAGUCAUUGGAAGACCUACAGGAAAGAUGACAAUCAGCUUCCGCUUCAUAUUAAAAUGUGGCAACCACAUAGCUCUUCCCAACUGAGAAAUUUGCAGUCAUUGGAAGACCUACAGGAAAGAUGACGAUCAGCUUCCACUUCAUGUUAAAAAGAUUCACUGCUGCCUGUCUGACGUGAUGCCUUAUUCACUGACCUGAGAUAAGCAGCGGGAGAUUAGUAAACUGGGU